GAAUUUUGUGUUUACAGUAAUUAUUUCAGGAAAGGCAAUUGCGUCUAAAGUAGGUGCCCGGGAGCGAAUUUAUGUAUUUUUAGGUGGUUUGUUAGGUUUGUUGAUCAGUUAGCUGCGAACAGUAAUAACAGUUUACCCUCUUUGAUUUUAACUUAUACCAAAAUGGCAGGAAAAAAAGAUAGAUCUAGAAUGCCAGAAAAAUAUUAUCAGAUUCUGCAAUCAAAUCAUGCCGUUUUAGUCAGUGAAUUAAUACCAAGCGCUUUAACUGGCUAUCUCUUUUCACACUUCAUAUUUGAUGAUGGAGACAUGGAAGAAAUAGAGGCAGAACAAAACAAUAAAGGUCGUUCAGCUGCAGCAAAAAAGUUUUUAACCGUUUUGAAACAAUCUGGUGAAAAUGCAUAUCCAGCGUUCUUGGAAGCUUUAAAGAAAACUGGAUUUAAUGGAUUAAUUAAAGUACUAGAGGAAACGAAAGUCAACCUGCCUGCUGAUCCAUUUAGUUGGAUUGACAACCUUGAAGAUGACAAGAAAAACCGAGCGUUAACAGAGAAACAUCUCAGUUCCCUAGCCAGUUGUAUAGGGGCUAACUGGGAGGCCAUUGCCCUUCAUUUACACUGCAGUCAAGCAUCAAUAAGCCAGGCACAAAUGAGUAAUGUUCACAGUCUUCAUAUGCAAAUUUUUACCUGUCUAAACAAAUGGAGACAAAGAGAGGCUAGCAAGGCAACAUUAAUAAUAUUAUUAACAGCUUUCCGAGAGUGUGAUGGUACCAUAAUAGACUGGGAUCGUGUUCGUAAAGUUGUGGAAAAUUUAUGACUCACAUAACCUGAUAAAUGGGCCGAGAAAUAACUGUUUUAAUUCAUCAGUGUGCAAAGGUUUGUCGAUGCCCGGUACUAAUCUUUUUUCAUUGUAUGCCCCGAAGACUAAAGUAUAGGGGACUAAAUCUAUUUAUUAAGGCCAGUUGAAUUUUGUUCAAGGUCACUGAGAAGUAAAUAAGGUUAGGGCAGGUUAUUGUUGCCGAGAUUGUAGGUUAGGGUUAGUGUAAGCAUUAGGGCUAAGUCCAGGUUUAGGUAGAGGGUUGGGAUUAGCGCUAGCCCUGUUUACAUCUCGUGACCUUUGACCAAACUUGAAGUUGGCCUUAUAAAAUAGAUCUAACCAGUAUAGGGCCUAGAACUUUGAAAUGUGAGAAAGAAAGAUAUUUUAAAUAUAUAAAAACAUGAAAUGAACUCAAUUAAAACACAGAUCCUAGUCAUUUUUAUAAGCCGUCCCUGUCUGUUUGGACGUCUGUCCACAAUUUUUUUGUGGAUACUCUACAGGUCAAAAUUUUUAUCCUUGUGGACACUGUAGAGAUCACAAUUGUUUUUUUCACAUUUUGAUAAAACUUAAGGGGUUGGGUGACCGAAUGGUUAAUACAUGUAUGUGCGCGUUGCAUCAUAAGGUCUGUCAUUGAGUCAACUGGCAUGGUUUCGAUUCCCCGAUUGUACAUGACAAAGAGUAGGGUCACCUGUCCAACCUUGUGGAUCUCCCCGGUUUCCUCCCACUGCUAAAGACCCAUACACUCAAUCAAAUUAAUGAUAUUAAAUUGAACCAUGUGUUAGUCCCGAAUUGACUUAGUUUGUGUUGAAAUCCCAUAUCUUUUUCUCUCUCUCUUUUAUAGUUCAGAAUUUGUUUCAAAGGCCUGUCAUUGGGUCAACUGGCGUUGUUUCGAAUCCCCUGUUGUACGUGACAAGGAGUAGGGUCGCCUGUCCAACCUCGUGGGUUUUCUCCGAGUCCUCCGGUUUCCUCCCACUGCUAAAGACCCCUACGCGCACGCGAAUUAUUGAAAAAAAAAAUUAAUUAAACCAUAUGUUAAUCCCAAAAUGACCUAGUUUGUGUUGAGUGGAGUUAAACUCUCUCUCUCUCUCUACCUGACAAGGAAUAGGGUCGCCUGUUUAACCUUGUGGGUUUUCUCCGAGUCCUCCGGUUUCCUCCCACUGCUAAAGACCCCUACGCGCUCGCGAAUUAUUGAAAAAAAAAAUUAAUUAAACCAUAUGUUAAUCCCAAAAUGACCUAGUUUGUGUUGAGUGGAGUUAAACUCUCUCUCUCUCUCUACCUGACAAGGAAUAGGGUCGCCUGUCCAAUUUUGUGGGUUUUCUCCGAGUCCUCCGGUUUCCUCCCACUGCUAAAGACCCCUACGCGCUCGCGAAUUAUUGAGAAAAAAAAAUUAAUUAAACCAUAUGUUAAUCCCAAAAUGACCUAGUUUGUGUUGAGUGGAGUUAAACUCUCUCUCUCUCUCUCUCUCUACUUGCCUUUGCUAUACUACUAACUAGGAUGAGGAUUUGUUGUAUAAACUGUAUUGUGGUUAAUGUGAGGGAUUAGCCAAUGAAACGAUCUGUUCUGGUGAGGUCUUGACUUGGGUUGCACGUAACUGUGGGUAGAAAUUUGCAGCAAAGAAGCAAAAGUUGUAUUUCAAACUGCCCACUUGAUACUUCAAAGCUGACUGGUUCUGACAUCAUAGGGUCAAAAGCCACUGGCAUGAAUCCAUCGAAAGUAAAAAUAAAAUGAAACAAAAUAUAGAUUUGUGUUUUAAUCAGAUUGAAAUAAAAUAAAUGAAUUAAAUUCACUCUAUGAUUGGAUGUGCGGACAUUGAAAUAUAUCCCCAGGGCCAUCACUCCCCUACCCUUCUUUGCACGCCAUAGUUAUAAUUUUACUUGAUCAAGUGUCUGGCGCCUCUAAAUAUUGUGCCAGAUAGGUUUAAAUAAAAACACAGACAUCAAAAUUAAACCAGUUGGAGACAAAAUGACAGCUAGGUAAGAAUGCCUGACACAAUCUGAGUUUGUGUCGGACAUUAUCUGUCACAGCUGCUUAUUUUCAGGCUUGCUGAUCGGUCAACAAAUCAUAAUGAAAUGGGGUUUAAUGUCCUACUGUUCUGCUUCGACUGGGCUAAUGAAGAUGGGCAUAUGCCAUACAGUGUGCUAAGGGGAAAUUUUGCCUAGACAGUGCCGCAAAGGGAUCUUUUACGUGCAUGCCAAUGUGUAUACAGGACUUUUUUUGUUUGGUCCGUCUGAGUGACUUCCGUUGAAGUUGUCUCUUGCCAGAACCUCCGUUCUGCACCACUGACAACUGGGAACCACACCAGAAAAUCUGGAAUAUAAAAUCUGACCAACAUGGCCUGUUUAUAUUUUCAAAAAAAUAAAAAAAAUAAAAAACAUUGAUCACAGCAUGUAAAUAUUUUCCUCCAGUUAAUUGAAUCAAUAUAUGUACUGUAGGCUCAAUUAUCAAGACAGUACACAAAGUAACUACAAAAAAUUUCAAAUGAAUUAAAAAAAAUGUACUGUAGGCUCAAUUAUCAAGUACAGUACACAAAGUAACUCUACAAAAUGAAUUAAAAAAUGUACUGUAGGCUCAAUUAUCAAGUCAGUAAAUGAAGUAACUACAAAAAAAUUACAAAUGAAUUUAAAAAUGUACUGUAGGCUCAAUUAUCAAGUACAGUACACAACCCAGAUAAAAGUCAUCAGGAGGUGUUUUUAGCAUGCAGAAUAAGGCCUACAGUACUGGUGUGGGCGAGGUUGCAGGAUGUAGCAGUAGGUUGGUCAGGCAUGACAAUCAUAAUUAAUAGCAAUAAUCUAACAUUCCUACACAAACAGCAUGCCGACAUAAUUGUAGAAUGUAUAUGAGAAAUCAUUUAGCCCAGUAGUGGGGAGCCAAGGUGGCUGAGUGGUUAAGACGCUGGCUCGCUAGCCUGGAGGGUCGGGUGUUCGAUCCCUGCAUUGGCCGAGAAAGUUCAUCCAGAUUUUCCGGCGUGGUUCCCCCUUGUCAGUGAUGCAGGGUGGAGGGCCUGACAAGGACAGCUGUCUAGUCCUUCAGAUGAGACGAAAAACCGAGGUCACGUGUAUACAUUGGAAUGCACGUAAAAGAUUACUUACCAGUUGGAAUUCGAUAUAAGAGUAGGCGAUAGUGCCGCUGCCCGGGCAAAAUUUCCCUCAUAGCACACUGUAUGGCAUAUGGCCGUCUUCAUUAGCCCAGUUUAGGAGCAGAACAGUAGGACGUUAAACCCCAUUCCAUUUCAUUUCAUUUCAAUUAUCAAGACAGUACACAAAGUAGCUCUACAAAAAAUUUCAAAUGAAUUAAAAAAAUGUACUGUAGGCUCAAUUAUCAAGACAGUACAUGAAUUAACUCUACAAAAUGAAUUCAAAAAUGUACUGUAGGCUCAAUUAUCAAGUCAGUAAAUGAAGUAACUACAAAAAAAUUACAAAUGAAUUAAAAAAAUGUACUGUAGGCUCAAUUAUCAAGACAGUACAUGAAUUAACUCUACAAAAUGAAUUCAAAAAUGUACUGUGGGCUUUAUUAUCAAGUCAGUACACAACCCAGAUAAAGGUAAAAGUCAUUAGGCAUUGUUAUUAGCCAAAGGCGUGUCACGAGCGUGGUCCGAGGGGGGGGUCUUUGGGGCUCUCCCCCCAGGAAAAUUUUGAAAAUUGACAACCGCAAACCCAUUUUCCAAGCAUUUCAGACCAAAGCAGAACAAGGCAAAUGUUUGAUUUCCUGAUACAAUUAGAUAACAGAAUGACCUAAGAGCACUGUCAUUAGAUGAAUUUGAGAAUUCUAGUACACUUCUUUUUUUGUGUUGUCAUUUUUUUCCUAUCUUUUCUUUCCCCUGUCCUGUCCCCUGUCCUCUCCUUUCUUCUUUCUUUUCUUCCCCCCCUCUCCUUUCUUUCUUUUUUCUUUCUCUUUUUUCUUUAUAGGCUUAGGCCCACUUUUUAUUACAGACAGGUGGACAGGUGGGCCCAGUCCAGCACUGGUUAUUAUCAUGUAGAAGUAGUCCUACAGUACUGGUGUGGGUGGGGUUGUCAGCAAGUAGAAGUACAUGUGGGCUUACAGUACUGUGGGGGGGGGGGAAUCUGUUGUCAGGGAUGACUAUCAUAAUGAAUAGUAUUAAUCUAUCAUUCCUACACAAACAGCAUGACAAGAUAAUUGUAGAAUGUAUAUGAGAAAUCAUUUAGCCCUGUAGUGAUGUUUUUAACAAAACCCUGUCUCCCACACCGGAUGUAUGUCUUGGAUCCAGAAUAUAUUCUUUGUACACCUAUCUUGUGGGUGUAAAAUACAAGCUGAUUCCAGGUGUCUCAGUAUUAGUAAUAUGUAAUAUAAUCUUAUAAUGUGUUUUUAUAAUAUGUUGAAUAUGUAUUGAAUAAUUAUUUUUUAAAACCCAUGUGAUAAAAUUUAUCUACAUGUAUAUCAAUGUAUUAUAGAACACAAUAAAAUCUCUAUAAAAGCUA